AGCCUGAUCCAGCAAUGCCGCGUGUGUGAAGAAGGCCUUCGGGUUGUAAAGCACUUUUGUCCGGAAAGAAAUCCUUGGCUCUAAUACAGUCGGGGGAUGACGGUACCGGAAGAAUAAGCACCGGCUAACUACGUGCCAGCAGCCGCGGUAAUACGUAGGGUGCGAGCGUUAAUCGGAAUUACUGGGCGUAAAGCGUGCGCAGGCGGUCUGUUAAGACAGAUGUGAAAUCCCCGGGCUCAACCUGGGAACUGCAUUUGUGACUGGCAGGCUAGAGUAUGGCAGAGGGGGGUAGAAUUCCACGUGUAGCAGUGAAAUGCGUAGAGAUGUGGAGGAAUACCGAUGGCGAAGGCAGCCCCCUGGGCCAAUACUGACGCUCAUGCACGAAAGCGUGGGGAGCAAACAGGAUUAGAUACCGCGGUAGU
rnacentral:rRNA from 1 species